rnacentral:lncRNA from 1 species
CAGGCGUUGUUUUCCUCGGAGAACGGAGGAGGAGGAGGAGGAGGAGGAAAUCUCCGGGUUUUUAAUGAGGGGGUGCAGCAGGGCUGAGCGCUGGGAUUACACGGCGCGGAGACAGAGCUGCGGGCUGUGUGUGCGCGCAGGGCUGGUAGUCUCCGCCUGUCUGCCUGCUAAUCGCACGUUUUCCGCUGUUAAAAAGAAACCGAGACGCUGUGGCCGAGCCCAGCGCUGUCUCUGCGACUGUGACAUGAAAAGAUGGCGCUCUCUCCCCUCCCCCAGCCUCCCUCUCGGCUUACACUUCCUCCCCAACAGCUUUUGCCUUCCAGUUUUUUAAAGCCCUCUUUUCUGCUUUCCUUCCCCCCCUCCCCCCCGGCCGGAUACCGCGAGCUUCCCAGCCGAUCGGGAUAUUAAGGAAGUUGGUGCCGUGUCUUGAAAACUACUCCCGUAUAAGAAAAACAUUCUGAUCUGCUAAAAGACCAUUCGCUGGAGGCCAUUUUAUGAAACCUCAAGAAGGACAUGUGCUCUGGGAGCAGUGGCCUCGAAGACCCACAGCAAGUAAGCCUGCAGAUGAAGCUAGGACCUUGCCUGCCUCCGUGUACCACCGGAAUGGCUCUCCCUGUCAUCCGCGGUGAGAGCAGCAACGAGAGACCGAGAGGAAACACGCUGCUGCUGUGCAAAAUGUGGACCAUGUGUGGGAACUAUUUACUCAGAGUGCAACUGCAGGCACCAGGCGAGGGGCUGGCAGAGCCGGGGGGCGGUGGAGAGAGAGGCUACGUCUCUCUCUCUCUCUUUUUUUUCGUCUUCCCUAAAGCCAAACACGUCGCUGUGUGUGUAACGGUGCGUUUUACUGACUUCUCGCUGGGCGCGUGUUGGGUUUUUUUAGUCCAAGGCUUUCGCGAUCUGCUUUUGUGCUCAUCCACCCCAAGCCUUUGCGGGCAAAGGGUUAAAUCUUCGGAGCCCUGGAAAGAAGCAGCUGAGUUUAAAAAAAAAAAAAAAAAGAAGAAAGAAAGAAAAGAAAAAAGGGGAGAGAAGAAAGACAUGGGAGCGAGAGGAAGAAGCGGGGAGAGAGAGAUGCAUGGUCCCCUGAUUGUCCCUUUGGCUGCUGUAGAAUAAUAAAAAUAAUUAAUAACAAUAAUAAUCCUCAGCUUUUCUUUUCCAUUUGGUUGUAU